rnacentral:rRNA from 1 species
UUGUUGCAGUUAAAAAGCUCGUAGUUGGAUUUCUGUAUUGGUUAGCCGGCCGGCGCAUUCGCGUUGCAGCUUGGUUUAAUCGAUGUAUCUUGUCACAAUAGACACUGGCAUUCAUUUGUUGGUGUUCUGACUGACUCGUUUACUUUGAGAAGAUUAGAGUGUUCAAAGCAGGCUAUCGCCUUGAAUAUGUUAGCAUGGAAUAAUGAUAUAGGACUUUGGUUCUAUUUUAUUGGUCGUUCGAGGACCGAAGUAAUGAUUGAUAGGGACAGUUGGGGGCAUCAGUAUUCUGAAGCGAGAGGUGAAAUUCUUGGACCUUUCGGAAGACUAACAACUGCGAAAGCAUUUGCCUAGGAUGU